rnacentral:rRNA from 1 species
CCUACGGGAGGCUGCAGUGGGGAAUAUUGGACAAUGGGGGGAACCCUGAUCCAGCCAUGCCGCGUGUGUGAAGAAGGCCCUCGGGUUGUAAAGCACUUUCAGUGAGGAAGAACGCCUGGUGGUUAAUACCCAUCAGGAAAGACAUCACUCACAGAAGAAGCACCGGCUAACUCCGUGCCAGCAGCCGCGGUAAUACGGAGGGUGCGAGCGUUAAUCGGAAUUACUGGGCGUAAAGCGCGCGUAGGUGGCUUGAUAAGCCGGUUGUGAAAGCCCCGGGCUCAACCUGGGAACGGCAUCCGGAACUGUCAAGCUAGAGUGCAGGAGAGGAAGGUAGAAUUCCCGGUGUAGCGGUGAAAUGCGUAGAGAUCGGGAGGAAUACCAGUGGCGAAGGCGGCCUUCUGGACUGACACUGACACUGAGGUGUGAAAGCGUGGGUAGCAAACAGGAUUAGAUACCCCAGUAGUC